GUAAGGAAUAUUGGUCAAUGGGCGCAAGCCUGAACCAGCCAUGCCGCGUGCAGGAAGACGGCCCUAUGGGUUGUAAACUGCUUUUGUCAGGGAAUAAACCCCCGCUCGUGAGCGGGGCUGAAGGUACCUGAAGAAUAAGCAUCGGCUAACUCCGUGCCAGCAGCCGCGGUAAUACGGAGGAUGCAAGCGUUAUCCGGAUUCAUUGGGUUUAAAGGGUGCGCAGGCGGAUUGGUAAGUCAGGGGUGAAAUCCCACAGCUCAACUGUGGAACUGCCUUUGAUACUGUCAGUCUAGAGUAUAGUUGAAGUUGGCGGAAUGUGUCAUGUAGCGGUGAAAUGCUUAGAUAUGACACAGAACACCGAUCGCGAAGGCAGCUAGCUAAGCUAUAACUGACGCUCAUGCACGAAAGCGUGGGGAUCAAACAGGAUUAGAUACCCGGGUAGUCC
rnacentral:rRNA from 1 species